rnacentral:rRNA from 1 species
GGAAUCUUCGGCAAUGGACGAAAGUCUGACCGAGCAACGCCGCGUGAGUGAAGAAGGUUUUCGGAUCGUAAAACUCUGUUGGUAGAGAAGAACGUUGGUGAGAGUGGAAAGCUCAUCAAGUGACGGUAACUACCCAGAAAGGGACGGCUAACUACGUGCCGG